rnacentral:rRNA from 1 species
CUACGGGCGGCAGCAGUGAGGAAUAUUGCACAAUGGGGGUAACCCUGAUGCAGCAACGCCGCGUGUAUGAUGAAACUGCUCUGCAGCGUAAAGUACUGUUAAUCGUGAAGACAGGUACAGUUAGCAGCUGUAUAAGACUGUAGCGAUAGAGGAAGCUCCGGCUAACUCCGUGCCAGCAGCCGCGGUAAUACGGAGGGAGCUAGCGUUGUCCGGAUUUAUUGGCGUAAAGGGCAUGUAGGUUGGAUGAUCAGUCAGUUGUAAAAUCUUAUGGCUUAACCAUAUCAAGCAAUUGAUACUGCCAUUCUUGAGUCUGUGGGGGGUCGAUGGAAUACCUAGUGUAGCGGUGGAAUGCGUAGAUAUUAGGUAGAACACCAGUGGAGAAGUCGGUCGACUGGCACAGUACUGACACUGAUAUGCGAAAGCGUGGGUAGCAAACAGGAUUAGAUACCCCGGUAGUC